rnacentral:rRNA from 1 species
GACGAACCGUGCAAACGUUAUUCGGAAUCACUGGGCUUAAAGGGCGCGUAGGUGGUUGAUCAAGUCUGGGGUGAAAUCUUUCGGCUUAACCGGAAAAGUGCCUUGGAUACUGAUCAGCUGGAGGGAUGUAGGGGCAGUUGGAACUUCCAGUGGAGCGGUGAAAUGCGCAGAUAUCAGGAGGAACACCGGUGGCGAAGGCGGGUCUCUGGGUAGUAACUGACGCUGAGGAACGAAAGCGUGGGUAGCGAACAGG